rnacentral:sRNA from 1 species
AACGUACCACGGAGCGUAUUCCAAUAUA